UGAGGAAUAUUGGUCAAUGGGGGCAACCCUGAACCAGCCAAGUCGCGUGAAGGAUGAAGGUCUUAUGGAUUGUAAACUUCUUUUACACGGGAAUAAAGUGGGGGACGUGUCCCCCUUUGCAUGUACCGUGUGAAUAAGGAUCGGCUAACUCCGUGCCAGCAGCCGCGGUAAUACGGAGGAUCCGAGCGUUAUCCGGAUUUAUUGGGUUUAAAGGGUGCGUAGGCGGAAAGAUAAGUCAGCCUGUGAAAGUUUGCGGCUCAACCGUAAAAUUGCAGUUGAUACUGUUUUUAUUGAGUGUACAUAAGGUAGGCGGAAUUCGUGGUGUAGCGGUGAAAUGCUUAGAUAUCACGAAGAACUCCGAUUGCGAAGGCAGCUUACCGGGGUACAACUGACGCUGAUGCACGAAAGUGUGGGUAUCAAACA
rnacentral:rRNA from 1 species